CUUCUUCAGCAGCACUUAUACUAAAAUUGGAAGGACACAGAGAAGGUUAGCAUAACUUCUGCACAAGGAUGGCAAACAAAUCUGUGAAGUGCUCCAUUUUUUU